rnacentral:misc_RNA from 2 species
GAGGUUCAGUCCUCCCAGGCCCACCACUUCGCAAUCCGCAAGGAUUGUCGGAUCUCCUCGAUAUCCGUCGGGAAACACUAUCAGGGGCCGUAGCUCAGCUGGGAGAGCGCCUGCUUUGCAAGCAGGAUGUCGUCGGUUCGAUCCCGUCCGGCUCCACCAACCAUCUUCUGUGAAGGUGGGGCGUGUCGAGUAGAGGAUGAUCGCCCGCGGUCAGUCAUUCGAAAAAGAGUUUGCGGCGCGCUUCGUGCUCUCCGCCUGUUCUGUUUGACAUCGUAAAGAGAAGAUUUGUUCGAACUUCACGGCUGCAAGGCUGUGAUUUGUCGCAAGGACGCUCAAUCCCUUGCCUAUGAUGGGUUUGCCUAACCGCGCCCUCGAACGGAUCUCGAGAAGCUGGUCUUUUUGUGCCAAUUCCAUUGAAGCAAGCCCCGCACAGGGUUUUGCUCAGGCGGCGAUCCUUCGGAUCGCGCAGAUGGGUAUUGGCAAUGAGAACGAUCAAGUGUCUUAAGGGCAAUUGGUGGAUGCCUUGGCAUGCACAGGCGAUGAAGGACGUGAUACGCUGCGAUAAGCUACGGGGAGGUGCGAAUACCCUUUGAUCCGUAG